rnacentral:rRNA from 1 species
GACGAACGCUGGCGGCGUGCUUAACACAUGCAAGUCGAACGGAAAGGCCCUGCUUUUGUGGGGUGCUCGAGUGGCGAACGGGUGAGUAACACGUGAGUAACCUGCCCUUGACUUUGGGAUAACUUCAGGAAACUGGGGCUAAUACCGGAUAGGAGCUCCUGCUGCAUGGUGGGGGUUGGAAAGUUUCGGCGGUUGGGGAUGGACUCGCGGCUGAUCAGCUUGUUGGUGGGGUAGUGGCUUACCAAGGCUUUGACGGGUAGCCGGCCUGAGAGGGUGACCGGCCACAUUGGGACUGAGAUACGGCCCAGACUCCUACGGGAGGCAGCAGUGGGGAAUAUUGCACAAUGGGCGGAAGCCUGAUGCAGCAACGCCGCGUGCGGGAUGAUGGCCUUCGGGUUGUAAACAGCUUUCGCCUGUGACGAAGCGUGAGUGACGGUAAUGGGUAAAGAAGCACCGGCUAACUACGUG